GAGUUUGAUCAUGGCUCAGGACGAACGCUGGCGGUAUGCCUAAUACAUGCAAGUCGAGCGCAGGAAGCAGACUGAAGCCUUCGGGUGGAUGUCUGUGGAAUGAGCGGCGGAUGGGUGAGUAUCACGUGGGUAACCUGCCUGUAAGCUUGGGAUAACUCCGGGAAACCGGUGCUAAUACCAGAUAAGAUUUCCGUUCGCAUGAACGGAAAAUGAAAGGCGGCUUUUGCUGUCACUUACAGAUGGACCCGCGUCGCAUUAGCUAGUUGGUGGGUAAAGGCUCACCAAAGCAACGAUGCGUAGCCGACCUGAGAGGGUGAUCGGCCACACUGGGACUGAGACACGGCCCAGACUCCUACGGGAGGCAGCAGUAGGGAAUCUUCGCAAUGGACGAAAGUCUGACGGAGCAAUACCGCGUGAGUGAUGAAGGUCUU
rnacentral:rRNA from 1 species